AUUGGGAUUUGUGUUUGGAUAUUCUCUCCUCCCCUCCUCAAUUCAAUUCUCUUGGUUUGCACUAAUAUCCGUCGAUCCUUACAUGGGACUAUUAAUGAUUCUCCAGAGCCUAAAUUUAUAAGGAUCAGAAUAUCAGACCACCGUAGGAUUGGGAAGCUUCUGUUCUGCAUUUUGGAUAAUCAGCCCCUCUCAAACUCAACUUCAUUCCCUGUACUUUGAAAGAUUGAUCAAUUCUGAUUUUGGACUUCUCUGGCUCUCCAGAAAUUAAAAUACACGGAUUGGACCAGUGAUCGUAGGAUUCGGAAACUUCCGUUCUGCAUAUGGAUAACCCAGCCCCCAAACUCAACUUCUUUCUUUGUAGUUUGUUUUUGUUCCUCGCUAUUCUGAUUUGGAUUUUUGCUGGUCUUCAGAAAUUGGAGUAAUAUAUACAUUCUUAGUGGGAGCCCAGGAGGUCUAUUUUGGUUCAGCGUUCCUUAUUGGAUCUUACUUUUCAAACUUAAUUAAUUCUUCGAUGAUACAUCAGCUUUCUCCCUUCGUCAGUAACACUAAACUCUUGCAGAUGUUGCCACAGAAGAUAAUUUGCAGUUUAAAACAGCGGCCAUCGUCUGCCUGAUCCCUGCCCAUGCCUGAUUCACUAAUCACCCUCAGUGUUUGAUGCAUACUUCUUUCUAUUUUCUUAAGCUCUGGCGCCCUUAACUAGAAAUUCAUAGGGCGGUCUCUUGCUGUUACAGGUUCUAGUUGACGAAUUCAAGUCUGACCCGAUGCUGAGUACAACCUGUUUCAGGAUUUUUUUAAAAUUACUCAACUUCUCUUCCCAGUUCAUCAUAAAUUUUAUGGUGAUAAAAUUAUCUUAUAGAACAAUAUUUGAACAUUCAGAUUGAUCUGCACUCUGAAGAUGAUCUGGAGCUUCAAAUUAACGCCACCCAACAACUGAGAAAACAUCGUUCUCUCUAUUUCAAUUUCUUUCCCUCUUAUUUAGAGUCCAUCUGUUUGUUUAUUUUAGUUAGUUGCCUCCGUUCAUAGCUUUAAUUAAGGUUUAUUGUUUCUGCCCAACAUAUUGCAGAUCCUUUUCACCCGGGACAUGCCUGCUAGCUUGGUAGUGGCCUCAAAUCUGUUAAAUCGUUUGGUUUGGUAUCUAUCUCUUUGUAGUUUUAUUCGUGGUACGUAUGCCAGAUCUAUUAGUCUGCUAUGCUUGGCUGCAGGAUAUAAGUGGGGAGUUGGACCUACCUGGGUUUUGUAAGUGGAGUAAAGGUUAGUGUUCCGUGGGCAGUUUGUUCGGUUCAUUUGUGUUCGCCUCGACCAUGCAUUGGUUGCAGGGGUGUGAUCUUAUCUGGAACUAGAGAUUAGUCAUCACAUGGCAAAGAGAACAUGAGGAGGUCAGUUUCCCGUGCUCCGUCAGAUCAGUUUGUUGGUUGUGUUACUUGCUUUCGGUGAUUACAGAUGAAUACAGAUUAUCCGUGUAAUGCUCUGGACUCCCUGGCAUUCUCUUCUGGUGGCUAGCCAUGUCCAUUGAUCUGAGGUUGAUUCGAGACCCUGCGUUGAUUAUAUUAUUGUAACAGCUGAUCUCGCUUCUGGUAUUUGUUUGUGCUCCUUGAGAUGCACAGGAGGAGAAUGGUUGUUGAUAGAUGAAUUGGAGGAUGGAGGUUUGCUUGCUGCUCAAUGGCUAAUUUGGUUUGUUAUGGUUAUUUUGGUUUGGUCAGAUACUCCUGAUCUGAAGUUAUGUGGUUGAAGCAGGAUUGGAUAUGUGAUAAUUCGUAUCAGAAAACUUUUGAUCACUGUUUGGACAAUCAACUCUCCUCAAUUUUUGUUUUUGUUUGCACAGUUCAAUUUUAGUACACACUAAGUCUUAUUUGGUUCAUCGGUUGUUCUCCAGAAUUGGAAUAUUAUGUGCGGCUGGGCGGAAUUUCUGGUUUUCCUUUUCAUGACCUCAACAUCUUUUCGAACUCCACAACUAUUUUAUUUCCCAUACAAAAUUUUCUCUGCCUUCGGUGGUAAUUCUAUGUUUUCGCAGACAUCCAUUUGAAUGUGUCAAACCGAUGGACCUGGUUUCUCUCAGUCUAAGCUGAUCAAGGGUUACCCCUACCCCUCGGAUAUUUGGAUAAUCAACCCCACUCCAUUAAUUUAUACUAGCUAUUCAGUACAGUUAGUCUCUGUCUGAUUUCGUUUUGUUGGUGUUUGCCAGAACUCAGAAUUAUACUGCUUAGCGGGACGGGAGGACUCCACCUUGCGGACUUACCUUCUUGCUGAUCUACGUUUGGAUAAUCAACCUCCCUAGAUUAAAAUUUUCCAUCUCACUUAAAUGUUAGGCUCCCACAUUCCACAUUUCUGAUUUGGAGUUAUUUGGUGAUUUCCAGAAAUUGCUAUUGGCGGGUGCUCCUGUUUUCCCUGGCAUGAUGGUUCCUUGUUUAGUCACCCUACCGUCUUACCUUCUUUUACAAUUGAACAUUGCAGACACUAGUUUUCUCUGCCUUACUCGAUAAAUCCUCAGCUCUUGCAGAUACUAACUCAAAAGUGAUGAAUUGCAAUUUGGAGGCGGUGUUGUGUAGCUGAACCUUACCAACUGAGACAGGCUUACCAUUUACCCACUCAUAAUCAUCAUUUGAUGCAUGCCUUAACCCUUUUUUUAAUGAUAAGUUCAGGGAAAUUCCUCUUUCUCCUAGAUUCUUAGGUGAUGAGUUCAAAUCUACAGGUUACCGGGUUUUAUUAGAGAGCUUCUUAAUGUACUAUCUUUUCAGUUCAUCAUAACAUAGAUAACUUAUCUUACAUGAGGUAAUAUUCUAAAUUCAGAUUGUUCUGCGGUUCACGAAUCUAAGGACAAUCUGGACCUUAAAACGAUCGGCACAUCCUACAACUGAAUAAGACUUAAUCUCUUACAUUCCUCAUUUCAAGCCUAUAACUUACUCUUCUGUCUUUAUGUUACUUAACUGCUUGUCCAUCUAUAUCUUCGAUUUAGGUUUUUCUUCUACCCUUCCUAUGGUUCCAGAUUUAUUUUCGUUGAGGCCAUGCUGGUAGUGACUGGAAAUCUAUAAAAUCAUUUGGUUUGCAAUAUAUCACCCAUCUUCUGUUAGAUUAAUUUUCUGUCUUUCCAUGUGCUUUUGGUCAUCUUCCUGUGUUGACUACAGGAUAUAGUUAGGAGUUGGAUUACCCCUUAGGGCAAAAAAAUUACUCUCUGCGUGGAGCCAGGUCAGUGUUUCAUGGAUGGUCUGUUAGGUUCCAUUUUGUGUCCACAACAGCAAGUUGGCUGCAUGACUGGAUCUGGUCCAGAACUUGAGCUCCCUAUGGCAAAGGGGACUUGGAAUGCUCUCUACGGCAAAGGUGAUGGUUGUGAUGAGAUGAAUUGAACGGUUGAGGUUUGCCCUUUGUUUGUGGUUAUCUUUAUUGGUUAUGACUCGGUGCUUAUUUGAUAUGGUUGGAACUUGUGAGCUGCUGGAUUGGAUUGCUGAUCGUGGGAUGGAACUAGAGCAGUUACAUACAUAUUGUUUUGGGAUAAUCGGUCCUUCUGAAUUUAAUGUAUAUUUGGAACCCUGGAUUGGUUUGCACUGAUAGAUUGAUUUGAUUUUGUUUGUGGUAUGUGCAUCUGCUCCUCUAGCUAUAAGACUGAUGGUGGAGAUUGGAUUGAAGGGUAGAGGUUUGGUUAUAAGUUAAUGCUCAUUCUUUAGAUCAUGUCAUAAUUUUAUGAUGUUAAUUUAUUGGUUUUGGGUCAACCCUGAUCGGAAUUGUGUAUCAGACCUGCAUAGUUGAGGAUUUGAAGGUGUCAUGAAGCUUGACUGGACUGUAGAUCACAUAACUGGAAGAAGUCUGCAAUGCUUUGUUCGAAUAUUUUCUUCCUUUGAAGUUCCUUCUUUAAUACAGAUUGCUCUUCUGUUUGAUUUCAUCCCGAAGCGCAUUUGUACAGGGUAUUGCAGAUGUCAAUCUGAUAUGCAUUGUGGAUGGAAGUGUUGGAGAUUCUUAGUGCAAGGAGAGUUGGAAGGUCUAGCAAAUCGUUGGUUAACCGGGGUCUUUUGUGAAGCUUCAAGUUUCCCAACUGUUCCGACUUCUUAUCAAAAAAUCUUGAAGCAUAGUAUUCCUUGAUUUGGUUGUUUGCGGAAGCUUAAAGUUUCAACUUUCAACUUGCAUUCAGUGGCCCAUCUCUUCGGUACAGCUUGUAGUCUUUCAUUGUGUGCACAUCUGGAUCUUCUGAUUAGUGAUCUUGAAGCUUAUUAUUGAACUCUGUUGUGUUCCAACUUUGUUUGGAUGGCGAGAAGUCACUUAGAAGUCUUGGUUACUUUGUUACAUGUUUGUUUCUCGAAGUUGGGUUUCAUGCCAAUAUCUUAAGUUUUAUCAAUGCACUCAGAUGUGUUUUGUUUCUCUAGCAGUUGGUCGCAGAUUUAUGACCUGAUAGGAAAUAGAAGAUUGCAUGUACAUGAGGCUCCGAAGGCAGUAAAAGAUCCUUACAGUUUUAUAUA